GGGCUCAAGGAUGUGACGGUGCACUAUAACCUCAUGGAUUGCCAGGGUUGACUGAACUGAUCUUGUGGGCCAGGAGGGUGUCCCCUUCCUCCCUCGGUACUCCAGGUCCUACCCUCCCAAAGCUACAUGCUUGAUCAAAAAGGUCUUCUCCAGUAGAGAAGAAACAUUCUCAGGUAGCUAGGUUUUCCUAUUAGAAUCUCCAACCAAGCUUUCAAAAGUGGCCUCAGGUGAUCCUCCUGCCUCAGCCUUCUGAGUUGAUGGGACUUCAGGAAUGCUACUGCAUCUGGCUUUACUUUUUUUU
ensembl:misc_RNA 7SK 7SK RNA